UGCUUUGUGCAGUGGCAGUAUCGUAGCCAAUGAGGUUAAUCCGAGGCGCGAUUAUUGCUAAUUGAAAACUUUUCCCA
rnacentral:snRNA from 1 species